rfam:Megaselia scalaris, Durham, NC isolate 2 -- Noor lab, WGS project CAQQ02000000 data, contig: ctg0000162846
CUAACUUAUUAUUUCUAGUUAUCCGGGAAUGUUUGUUGGAGCAUUAUGUGCUUUAGCUGGUGUUUUAACGAUUGCACUUCCAGUUCCAGUCAUUGUCAGUAAU